rnacentral:rRNA from 1 species
UACGGGGGGUGCGAGCGUUGUCCGGAAUCACUGGGCGUAAAAGGCGCGUAGGUGGUUUGAUAAGGGUGUGGUGAAAGCCCGGGGCUCAACCCCGGGUCUGCCGUGCCGACUGUCAAACUCGAGGGCUGUAGAGGCAGACGGAAUUCCGGGUGUAGCGGUGGAAUGCGUAGAGAUCCGGAGGAAGACCGGUGGCGAAGGCGGUCUGCUGGGCAGUUUCUGACACUGAGGCGCGACAGCGUGGGGAGCAAACAGG